rnacentral:lncRNA from 1 species
AUUCACCUGUAAAAAAUGUGUUUCCUUUGCGUUCUGAACACAUAGACAGAACCCGCGACGUUUCUUAGUGAAGUUCAAGUGACUUGCCAGGUGGGGAAAUUCCUUCUUUCCCAGAACUUUACUCGCCGACAAAUUCAAGUUCACCGUUUUGUCGCACGCUCCGGCCAGAAUCACCCGUUUUCCUCUCAUUCGCUGGAUUAGGAAAACACGGCCUUUUACUUUGUUUGUGUCUGCACAGUCUCCAG